rnacentral:tRNA from 1 species
UCCCUGGAGGACUAGUGGUUAGGCCUCAUCUCUCUCACUGCCUUGGCCUGGGUUCGAUUCCCAGCCAGGGAA